rnacentral:rRNA from 1 species
GACGAACGCUGGCGGCGUGCCUAAUACAUGCAAGUCGAGCGCAGGAAACUGACGGAACUCUUCGGAGGGAAGGCAGUGGAAUGAGCGGCGGACGGGUGAGUAACACGUAAGGAACCUGCCUCAAGGAUUGGGAUAACUCCGAGAAAUCGGAGCUAAUACCGGAUAGUUCAACGGACCGCAUGGUCCGCUGAUGAAAGGCGCUCCGGCGUCACCUUGAGAUGGCCUUGCGGUGCAUUAGCUAGGUGGUGGGGUAACGGCCCACCAAGGCGACGAUGCAUAGCCGACCUGGGAGGGUGAUCGGCCACACUGGGACUGAGACACGGCCCAGACUCCUACGGGAGGCAGCAGUAGGGAAUCUUCCACAAUGGACGAAAGUCUGAUGGAGCAACGCCGCGUGAGUGAUGAAGGUCUUCGGAUCGUAAAACUCUGUUGUAAGGGAAGAACACGUACGAGAGGAAAUGCUCGUACCUUGACGGUACCUUACGAGAAAGCCACGGCUAACUACGUGCCAGCCGCCGCCGUAAAAC